rnacentral:lncRNA from 1 species
CCCGUUACUCUCUCUCUCUCUCUCUACACGGUCUGUCUUUAUAUACCCCCACGACCCACAUCUUCUUCCUCACACUGCCUCUGCAAUUCCUCUCUCACAUUCUCCAAGAGGAAUCGUAGAGCCCUCCUUCCCUCCUCUCUCACAUAACGCAUAAUCCAAUUAUAUACAGAUCAAAUGGAGACAUUGAAGAUGAAGCUCUUCGCCGCUGUGGUGGUGAUGAUGAUGGCCGUAUCCGCCGUCCAGAACGUCGCCGCCGCCGAUGCUCCAACGCCGAGCCCCGAAUCCGCCGCCGCCGCCUUCGUUCCCACUGCCGUCGCCUCUCUAACGGCUCUCGCCUUCGGACUCCUCUUCUGAUCUGUUGAUUUCUAACGGCGUUAUGUAUCUUUCGCCUAGAUAGCCAUUGAUUUCCCCUUUCUCUCUCUCUCUCUCUCCAUUCUGACAUCUAAUGGGGGCCGGCGAUGAGAGAGAAAGGGAAAUUUGUUUUCUGAUGGUUUUCUACAUUCGUAUUUAUAAUUUAUUGUGUGUGAUUUUUAUAUUUUGGGCAUUUACUUGGUCGAGGGUUGUGGAUUUGAUUCCCUGUUUGUAAUUUGCUUCGGUGUUCUCUUCUUCCUCUCCGUUGUACCUUUUGGUCCGUCCAUUCAUUGUAAUAAAUCAUACUUUUGCUUUCUCAUCUUUUUCAACCUCUUUUUGGUUGUGUUUCUAUCUUUAUUAGAGUUCUAACAAAACCUUGGACCUACUAGACUCUUUGUUCCAAGUAUGUGGGACUUUGGGUUUGCUCGGACUAAUAAUCUGAAGCCAUUUUAAAAAAACAAACACGGGAGUCUAGUCCCGCCUAGUCCCGCCUAAUCCGGCUUAGUCCGGGUAAUCAAAC